CAGCAGCCACGGUAAUACGAAGGUCCCGAGCGUUGUUCGGAAUCACUGGGCGUAAGGGGAGCGUAGGCGGCGUGGUAAGUCAGAUGUGAAAUCCCGGGGCUCAACCCCGGAACUGCAUCCGAUACUGCCAUGCUAGAGGAUUGGAGAGGUAGCUGGAAUUCUUGGUGUAGCAGUGAAAUGCGUAGAGAUGUGGAGGAACACCGAUGGCGAAGGCAGCCCCCUGGGCCAAUACUGACGCUCAUGCACGAAAGCGUGGGGAGCAAACAGGAUUAGAUACCCGCGUAGUCCCUGUCUCUUAUAC
rnacentral:rRNA from 1 species